AGUACUCAUUAAAAAAAAUCUGUUCUUUCGCUCCCUCUGGCAGGCUGAAGGUGAAUGCCCACAGCAGGCUGGUGAAGAUGAUGAAGAUCUCAGUCCUUGCCAGGUGCUCCCCCAAACACACAUGGUGCCCUGCAGAGGGACAAGGGGAAGGGCAGGCACCCUCAUUCUGCCAAAUUUAGACUCUGUCCUCUUUGAUCCUGAGAAAUGGGAGUCUCCUCGACAGUUCAGCCCAAGUCGUUUCUUGGAUAAGGAAGGAAAUUUUGUGAGCAGAGAAGCUUUUUUACCAUUCUCAACAGGGUCCCGUGUGUGUUUGGGGGAGCAGCUGGCAAGGAGUGAGCUCUUCAUCUUCUUCACCAACCUGCUGAGGGCGUUCAAGUCCACCCUCCCACAGGGAGUGAAGGAAAUCAGCACAAAGCUUGUUUUGGGGAGAACAAUGCAGCCCCAGCCAUAUAAGCUCUGUGUUGUUCCUCGUUAGGCUGCAGUGCAUCACAGAUCAGGAGAAGAAUCAUUCUUCAAGAUUGCUUGACCCCAUAACUUUCCUCCUUGCAGCUCUUAUUCUUUUUCUGGUGUCAGCAUCACACAUUAUCACAAGCUGCUAGACCCUGGGCAAUGCAACUGAACAGUGCAACUGUUUCAUCAUUGUCGUGUGCUCAGAAAGUCUUUGUAAAUUUCUUCCAGAUGUGCUACACAUUAAAAAAUUACAGCAAAGAAAUUUAGCAUCUGACUUUACUUCUCACUGACCUGAAAACUGACUAGUGGGAGGAAGAAUUUAAAAAGGUAGAUGCUGUCAUUUAUUAUAAUAUUGAGGUGACAGGGUUUUAAUAUAAUAAAUCCUGUAAUUCAUGUAUGUGAACUGUGAAUUGAGGUGUUGAAUCUGUAAAGAUCUAUGUACUACUACUGUAAAUCUGUAGCAACUGAGUGUUUCUUUGCAUAAAGAUCUACUAUGCUUUAAUCUGAAAAGGUGUUAAACACAAUAGAAGCAGAGGAGGGGAAGGGCAGUGGCAACAAGGGAGGGACAGAGGGAGGAAAAUGCGCGGAUGUUGUAUGGAAUUAGAUCUCUGCGGGAAGAACUAGUAGAGCAACGGGGAGAUGCAGCCUUCACAGCUGCAAUAGAUUUGUUUAGCUACAGACAAGGUGGUUAAAAAAGCAGUGAAAUGCUGACCAUAAGUCAGGUUCUCAUAACCUCGAUUGUCUCUCUUCUGAUCGUGAAGUUUCUGAAGUUGCGACAGGCACAGGAAGACAACUUCCUCCUGGACCAAUUCCCCUCCCAGUUGUUGGAAAUUGGGCGCAGAUCAAUUUUCAGUUUCAUCGUGAUCUCCUCAUGAAGGUAUUUAUUCUUAGACACUCUGGUUGGUUGACGGUCUAAUGGGCUAAUUGAGAAAAUAAGUGAAAUUUAUUGGUAGCAGAAAGUAGUUUUACAUGCUUGGGAAAGUUGUGGUCAAAGUAUUGUGAAUGUGAAAAUCAGCCUGAUUGCUAAACUCCAUCUCUUUUUAAUGUGGGAUGCGUCAAAUUCAUAUGAAACCUGAUGUUUAUAAGAAUUAAACAACAGGGGACAGUAUUUCUGACUAGUGAAGAAGGAAAAGGAACACAUUUUUAAAGAGGGACUUUCAACAAUAUAGAACUUUCAGACACAUUGGUUUUUAACCCUUAGAGCACUGGCGUUUUUCUAGCUCACCAAAGGAUUAGCACUACGUGUUGUACGUUUAUGUCUGUAGUACUGAAAAGGUUACAAAUCAACAAAUCUCUUCAGUUCUCACUCGUUUUCUUCAGGGCUUGCUGCUUCUCAGUCCAUCAUUGGCCCUUUCUGCUCAAUCCUGCAGUGAAUCCAUAGUGCUCAGUAGAUGACCUCAGCAACUGGGGCAAUGUACAGAUUCCUGUC